rnacentral:rRNA from 1 species
UACGAAGGGUGCAAGCGUUAUUCGGAGUUACUGGGCGUAAAGAGCGCGUAGGCGGUCUGUUAAGUCAACUGUUAAAUCUCCCGGCUUAACCGGGAAUCAGCAGUUGAUACUGGCAGACUAGAGUAUGAGAGAGAGAAGUGGAAUUCUCGGAGUAGCGGUAAAAUGCGUAGAUCUCGAGAGGAACACCGGAGGCGAAGGCGGCUUCUUGGCUCAUUACUGACGCUCAAGUGCGAAAGCGUGGGGAGCAAACAGG